rnacentral:tRNA from 3 species
GCCUCGGUAGCUCAGCUCGGUAGAGCGGCAGCCUUGUAAGCUGUUGGUCGUGGGUUCAAACAUCAAAGGAACAAAUCCCACCCGAGGCUCCA